rnacentral:rRNA from 1 species
UGAACGCUGGCGGCGUGCCUCACACAUGCAAGUCGAACGAAGCACCUUACCUGAUUCUUCGGAUGAAAGUUUGGUGACUGAGUGGCGGACGGGUGAGUAACGCGUGGGUAACCUGCCCUGUACAGGGGGAUAACAGCUGGAAACGGCUGCUAAUACCGCAUAAGCGCACGAGGAGACAUCUCCUUGUGUGAAAAACUCCGGUGGUACAGGAUGGGCCCGCGUCUGAUUAGCUGGUUGGCAGGGUAACGGCCUACCAAGGCAACGAUCAGUAGCCGGUCUGAGAGGAUGAACGGCCACAUUGGAACUGAGACACGGUCCAAACUCCUACGGGAGGCAGCAGUGGGGAAUAUUGCACAAUGGGGGAAACCCUGAUGCAGCAACGCCGCGUGAGUGAAGAAGUAUUUCGGUACGUAAAGCUCUAUCAGCAGGGAAGAUAAUGACGGUACCUGACUAAGAAGCUCCGGCUAAAUACGUG